ACCCACUAGAAGCCAAUAGUGAGAGAGAGCCAACAUACUCAAAAUAUCCAAAUCAGUAAAGUUAUUGGUGAAAAUGAAAAAUGUGUUUUAUUUUAUGGAAAAAACCUAAACAGGCUUUUUGGCCAAUACAAUAAAUGAGUUUUUA